UACGGAGGGAGCUAGCGUUGUUCGGAAUUACUGGGCGUAAAGCGCACGUAGGCGGCUACUCAAGUCAGAGGUGAAAGCCCAGGGCUCAACCUUGGAACUGCCUUUGAAACUAGGUAGCUAGAAUUCUGGAGAGGUCGAGUGGAAUUCCGAGUGUAGAGGUGAAAUUCGUAGAUAUUCGGAAAGAACACCAGUGGCGAAGGCGACUGACUGGACAGAUAUUGACGCUGAGGAGCGAAAGCAUGGGGAGCGAACGAGGA
rnacentral:rRNA from 1 species